GUAUAGCUCAGUGGAAGAGCAUUCGGCUGCAGUUCGAGAGGUCUCCGGUUCAAACCCGGGUGUCCCA
rnacentral:tRNA from 1 species